ACAGGAAGAAAGUGGUGGAGUCAGAGGUCACAAUCCAAAGCAAGGUGACAGUCUCUUGAAGAAGACACCCUGAGUGCUGAAUUAAGGGGCUAAAUAACAGUGCUAUAGUGGUUUCAUAAUCAUAAAGCAUUCCAGGAACACAAUAUUGCUUAUCAACUGAGCUUUAAAACAGAUAUGAGGCAGGACGUGGUGGCUCACACCUGCACUCCCAGCAAUUUGGCAAGCCAAGCUUUGAUGGCUCUGGCAGAAAGCCUUCCUGUUCCAAACUCACCACUUAUCAUCAUAGUACCCGCGUUCAGGCAUUAAGAAGAAAAGAGCAUCCAAUCCCUCUGCUUUCCUGCAUCGGCUCCCAUGCACAAGCAAAUGUGUUGUGUUAGUGGCUAUCAAAUAUUCAUGUAUUUGAUCAAGGAAAUUUGUAUUUCCAAAUGGUAAAACAAAAAUACUACUA
ensembl:lncRNA novel transcript